rnacentral:rRNA from 1 species
UACGGAGGGUGCGAGCGUUAUCCGGAUUCAUUGGGUUUAAAGGGAGCGUAGGUGGCCUUAUAAGUCAGUGGUGAAAUCUUCGAGCUUAACUCGGAAAUUGCCAUUGAUACUGUAGGGCUUGAGUACAGUUGCUGUGGGCGGAAUAUGACAUGUAGUGGUGAAAUACAUAGAGAUGUCAUAGAACACCGAUUGCGAAGGCAGCUCACAAAGCUGUAACUGACACUGAGGCUCGAAAGUGCGGGGAUCAAACAGG